AAAAGAAAAGGAUAAAGAGGAAGAGAAAGAGGAAGGAGAACAAAAAGGGAAGAAACCGAAAAAACUGCUGGACACCGUGAGAUUAUGCAACGGGGAGAUCUUCUUCAUCACAGAUGACACGGAAUGUAUCUCAGCGAAAGGCAAGACAAUACGUUGGCUGACCUUGGAUGACCUUGAGAGGCAAAUCAAGGUCAACUAUAAGGAGCUUAAGUCCAAAGGAGGCCUGAAGCAUGCGUGGGCAAGGACUAUUCACACCUACCAGGGUUCUGAGUCCGACACGGUGCUGUAUGUCGUCGGUACACCCACCCGCCACCAGAACUGGCAGCACGUGUACACGGCCGUGACGCGCGGUAAGAAGGAAGUGUAUGUGGUGACCUCACCCAGCGCUCUCAGCAAGUCUGUGCAGACCCUACCCAUCUUCAGGAACACGCUUCUGCGCAACUUCCUG